CAGUCGCCGCGGGAAUACGUAGGUGGCGAGCGUUGUCCGGAAUUAUUGGGCGUAAAGGGCUCGCAGGCGGUUUCUUAAGUCUGAUGUGAAAGCCCCCGGCUCAACCGGGGAGGGUCAUUGGAAACUGGGAAACUUGAGUGCAGAAGAGGAGAGUGGAAUUCCACGUGUAGCGGUGAAAUGCGUAGAGGUGUGGAGGAACACCAGUGGCGAAGGCGACUCUCUGGUCUGUAACUGACGCUGAGGAGCGAAAGCGUGGGGAGCGAACAGGAUUAGAUACCCCCGUAGUCCCUGUCUCUUAUAC
rnacentral:rRNA from 1 species